GACGAACGCUGGCGGCGUGCUUAACACAUGCAAGUCGAACGGAAAGGCCCUGCUUUUGUGGGGUGCUCGAGUGGCGAACGGGUGAGUAACACGUGAGUAACCUGCCCUUGACUUUGGGAUAACGCUAGGAAACUGGUGCUAAUACUGGAUAUGUGCUCCUGCUGCAUGGUGGGGGUUGGAAAGCUCCGGCGGUUGUGGAUGGACUCGCGGCCUAUCAGCUUGUUGGUGGGGUAGUGGCCUACCAAGGCGGCGACGGGUAGCCGGCCUGAGAGGGUGACCGGCCAACUUGGGACUGACGUAAGGCACAGGCUCCUACGGGAGGCAACAGGGGGGAAUAUUGCACAAUGGGCGCAAGGCUGAUGCAGCAACGCCGCGUGCGGGAUGACGGCCUUCGGGUUGUAAACCGCUUGCAGCAGGGACGAAGCUUUUUGUGACGGUACCUGCAGAAGAAGCACCGGCUAACUACGUG
rnacentral:rRNA from 1 species